GAAAAAUUUCUAGAACUAGAGCGAAAAGGUUAAAGAUUGCGACUUUUUUAGUGAAUCGUAACGGUGAUAAUGGUGAAAAUUGUAGAGAUAAACGCUGUGGAGAUAGUUUGCAAGAAGCAGUGGAGGUUGACGGCGGAACUAGAGCUUUGGUCAUCGGAGUACAUGACGUUAGUUUUCCGAUCAAUAGACGGCACUGGCGGCUGCUAUGACGAUGUAUUGCUCUCCCCUUAUAAU
rnacentral:misc_RNA from 1 species